rnacentral:rRNA from 1 species
AUGAACGCUAGCUACAGGCUUAACACAUGCAAGUCGAGGGGCAGCAUGGUCUUAGCUUGCUAAGGCCGAUGGCGACCGGCGCACGGGUGAGUAACACGUAUCCAACCUGCCGUCUACUCUUGGACAGCCUUCUGAAAGGAAGAUUAAUACAAGAUGGCAUCAUGAGUCCGCAUGUUCACAUGAUUAAAGGUAUUCCGGUAGACGAUGGGGAUGCGUUCCAUUAGAUAGUAGGCGGGGUAACGGCCCACCUAGUCUUCGAUGGAUAGGGGUUCUGAGAGGAAGGUCCCCCACAUUGGAACUGAGACACGGUCCAAACUCCUACGGGAGGCAGCAGUGAGGAAUAUUGGUCAAUGGGCGAGAGCCUGAACCAGCCAAGUAGCGUGAAGGAUGACUGCCCUAUGGGUUGUAAACUUCUUUUAUAAAGGAAUAAAGUCGGGUAUGGAUACCCGUUUGCAUGUACUUUAUGAAUAAGGAUCGGCUAACUCCGUGCCAGCAGCCGCGGUAAUACGGAGGAUCCGAGCGUUAUCCGGAUUUAUUGGGUUUAAAGGGAGCGUAGAUGGAUGUUUAAGUCAGUUGUGAAAGUUUGCGGCUCAACCGUAAAAUUGCAGUUGAUACUGGAUAUCUUGAGUGCAGUUGAGGCAGGCGGAAUUCGUGGUGUAGCGGUGAAAUGCUUAGAUAUCACGAAGAACUCCGAUUGCGAAGGCAGCCUGCUAAGCUGCAACUGACAUUGAGGCUCGAAAGUGUGGGUAUCAAACAGGAUUAGAUACCCUGGUAGUCCACACGGUAAACGAUGAAUACUCGCUGUUUGCGAUAUACUGCAAGCGGCCAAGCGAAAGCGUUAAGUAUUCCACCUGGGGAGUACGCCGGCAACGGUGAAACUCAAAGGAAUUGACGGGGGCCCGCACAAGCGGAGGAACAUGUGGUUUAAUUCGAUGAUACGCGAGGAACCUUACCCGGGCUUAAAUUGCAGAUGAAUUACGGUGAAAGCCGUAAGCCGCAAGGCAUCUGUGAAGGUGCUGCAUGGUUGUCGUCAGCUCGUGCCGUGAGGUGUCGGCUUAAGUGCCAUAACGAGCGCAACCCUUGUUGUCAGUUACUAACAGGUUCCGCUGAGGACUCUGACAAGACUGCCAUCGUAAGAUGUGAGGAAGGUGGGGAUGACGUCAAAUCAUCAUGCCCCUUAUGAGCAGGGCUACACACGUGCUACAAUGGCGUAAACAAAGGGAGGCAGAACCGCGAGGUCGAGCAAAUCCCAAAAAUAACGUCUCAGUUCGGAUUGUAGUCUGCAACUCGACUACAUGAAGCUGGAAUCGCUAGUAAUCGCGAAUCAGCAUGUCGCGGUGAAUACGUUCCCGGGCCUUGUACACACCGCCCGUCAAGCCAUGGGAGCCGGGGGUACCUGAAGUGCGUAACCGCGAGGAGCGCCCUAGGGUAAAACUGGUGACUGGGGCU